UUUUUAUUGAAUUUAUCUAUUCUAUCUGUGGUAAUAACAGGGAAAAAUGUAUGUAAAGUUCCCCAAAGCAAAAAUCGGAUUGAUUGGAAUAAGACAUCAAGAAAUUGGUACCUUGCAUUCGACGCUGGAGAUCCUAUCACGAGUAACUUGGAUUGCAAAACCGCUCUAAACAUGAAGUAACAAAAACUGGAUUCAAGUUUACCGCAAAAUACUUUGUGAACGGGAAAUUAUGUUUAUAAUCGCACAGGAAAAUUGAACAAGAAUGCAGUUAUCGAAGGUUAGAUUUUAGUUAAAAUCUUAUAUUUGAAAAGAAUAAAAGUCAAAACAUGAGCAAAUAUAUGAUCGUAAAUA